CCUGCGGUUUAAUCGGACUCAACGCCGGGAAACUCACCAGAUAAGACAGCUGAAUGAUAGUCGGGCUGAAGACUCUACUUGACUAGCUGAGAGGAGGUGCAUGGCCGUCGUCAGUUCGUACUGUGAAGCAUCCUGUUAAGUCAGGCAACGAGCGAGACCCACGCCAACAGUUGCCAGCUCGUCCUCCGGGAUGGAGGGGACACUGUUGGGACCGCCUCUGCUAAAGAGGAGGAAGGAAUGGGCAACGGUAGGUCAGCAUGCCCCGAAUUAUCUGGGCUACACGCGGGCUACAAUGGGUGGGACAAUGGGUAUCGACACCGAAAGGUGAAGGCAAUCUCCUAAACCCAUCCGUAAUUCGGAUUGUGGGCUGCAACUCGCCCACAUGAAGCUGGAAUCUGUAGUAAUCGUGUCUCAAAAUGGCACGGUGAAUAUGUCCCUGCUCCUU
rnacentral:rRNA from 1 species